GCGGUCGUGGUGGAAUUGGUAGACACGCUAGCUUGAGGUGCUAGUGCUUGAAAGGGCUUGGAGAUUCGAGUUCUCUCGGCCGCA
rnacentral:tRNA from 1 species